AAUCAUUUGCCUUUUAAUGGAGGCUGGUAUGAAUGGCAAGACGGAGGUUUAGCUGUCUCUCUUUUAGAAUCUUGAAUUUGCCAUCUUCGUGAAGAGGCGAAGAUAAAGUCGUAGGACGAGAAGACCCUAUCGAGCUUAAGCUUUAUAAUAGAGUUGAAAAAUUUUUGUUUUUAGGCUAAUUGAAAAACGACUUAAUUUUACCUAGGAAUAAAGAUUAACUACUAUUAGAAUGUUUUGGUUGGGGCAACCGCGGAGAAAAUACACCCUCCGUUACAAAAUUAGAAAAACUUACUACUUUGGGAAAUUUUAAAGUUUAAAAAUGAUCCACUAAAAAGUGAUCAAAGGAAUAAGUUACCGUAGGGAUAACAGCGUAAUUUUUUUGGAGAGUUCAUAUUGAUAAAAAAGUUUGCGACCUCGAUGUUGGAUCGGGACUUCCAGGAGAUGCAGAAGUUUCCAAGGGUUGGUCUGUUCGACCAUUAAAGUCCUACGUGAUCUGAGUUCAGACCGGA
rnacentral:rRNA from 1 species